rnacentral:rRNA from 1 species
AGUGGGGAAUAUUGCACAAUGGGCGAAAGCCUGAUGCAGCGACGCCGCGUGAGGGAUGACGGCCUUCGGGUUGUAAACCUCUUUCAGCAGGGAAGAAGCGAAAGUGACGGUACCUGCAGAAGAAGCGCCGGCUAACUACGUGCCAGCAGCCGCGGUAAUACGUAGGGCGCAAGCGUUGUCCGGAAUUAUUGGGCGUAAAGAGCUCGUAGGCGGCUUGUCACGUCGGAUGUGAAAGCCCGAGGCUUAACCUCGGGUCUGCAUUCGAUACGGGCUAGCUAGAGUGUGGUAGGGGAGAUCGGAAUUCCUGGUGUAGCGGUGAAAUGCGCAGAUAUCAGGAGGAACACCGGUGGCGAAGGCGGAUCUCUGGGCCAUUACUGACGCUGAGGAGCGAAAGCGUGGGGAGCGAA